CCUACGGGAGGCUGCAGUGGGGAAUAUUGCACAAUGGGGGAAACCCUGAUGCAGCGACGCCGCGUGAGUGAAGAAGUAAUUCGUUAUGUAAAGCUCUAUCAGCAGGGAAGAAAAUGACGGUACCUGAGUAAGACGCCCCGGCUAACUACGUGCCAGCAGCCGCGGUAAUACGUAGGGGGCAAGCGUUAUCCGGAUUUACUGGGUGUAACGGGAGCGUAGACGGCAGUGCAAGUCUGGAGUGAAAGGCGGGGGCUCAACCCCCGGACUGCUCUGGAAACUGUACGGCUGGAGUGCAGGAGAGGUAAGUGGAAUUCCUAGUGUAGCGGUGAAAUGCGUAGAUAUUAGGAGGAACACCAGUGGCGAAGGCGGCUUACUGGACUGUAACUGACGUUGAGGCUCGAAAGCGUGGGGAGCAAACAGGAUUAGAUACCCCGGUAGUC
rnacentral:rRNA from 1 species